rnacentral:rRNA from 1 species
ACAAGCGUGGAGCAUGUGGUUUAAUUCGAAGCAACGCGAAGAACCUUACCAGGUCUUGACAUCCCGAUGCUAUUUCUAGAGAUAGAAAGUUACUUCGGUACAUCGGUGACAGGUGGUGCAUGGUUGUCGUCAGCUCGUGUCGUGAGAUGUUGGGUUAAGUCCCGCAACGAGCGCAACCCCUAUUGUUAGUUGCCAUCAUUCAGUUGGGCACUCUAGCGAGACUGCCGGUAAUAAACCGGAGGAAGGUGGGGAUGACGUCAAAUCAUCAUGCCCCUUAUGACCUGGGCUACACACGUGCUACAAUGGUUGGUACAACGAGUUGCGAGUCGGUGACGGCGAGCUAAUCUCUUAAAGCCAAUCUCAGUUCGGAUUGUAGGCUGCAACUCGCCUACAUGAAGUCGGAAUCGCUAGUAAUCGCGGAUCAGCACGCCGCGGUGAAUACGUUCCCGGGCCUU